rnacentral:lncRNA from 1 species
GACCGACUGCCCUGGAGCCAGUGCCCGCUGGACCAGAACCUCCCGGGUGAGCUGCGCCUGGGGCCGAAGCCAGGGUCCUGGAGGGGCUGGGGGCAGGGAGCCCUGAGACUCCGCUCCCCCCAGGGCAGCCAAGGGAGAGGGAGGCCGUCAGGAGCUCGGGAGCACUUAGCCUCGGGUGCGUGCACGUGUGCUGCUCCCGCAGACACGCGUCACGGCCGCGCCCUGGCAGGCUACACGGAUGAGUGUGCGCAGCUCCUCCGUGGACUAAUUCUGGUACUGCCAGACGCUCAACAUAUCCACGUCCAUCAACGACACGGGCUCGGUGCAGUGAUGGAUCCUGCUGUGCCUCACGUGUGCCUGGAGCGUGCUCUAUGUGUGCACCAUCCGCAGAAUCGAGACAACGGGCAAGGUGCGGGACAGGCGCCGCGCGUGGCUGUGGGGCUGCGGUGCAGGGCGCGCCCUCGCCGGCCGCCCUGAGCCCGCCUCCCUGCCCAGCUGCAGGCCGUGUACAUGACUUCUACGCUGCCCUACCUCGUGCUCACCAUCUUCCUGAUCCGCAACCUGACGCUGAAGGGCGCGGACGCCGGCAUCGCCUUCCUCUUCACGCCCAACGUCACCAAGCUGGCCAACUGGUCACCUGGCUGGACGCGGGCGGGCAGGUGUUCUACUCCUUCUCGCUGGCCCUCGGCGGCCUCGUCUCCUUCUCCAGCUACAACUCGGUGCAGUGAGUCGGGGGUGCAGGGGUCCUGGGGCGCCGAGAGUGGGCCACGCCUCGGUUUCCCCAUCAGACCUGGAGACCUGGCCGCCCUCGCGAGAGCGUGCACGGCAGCCCUCGGUGGGGGCGUGCUGGGGGAGGUAUGAGGAGGGCGACCCUGCUGACCCUGUGGCACCUGGCUUCUCAGGUGCUGGCCCUUACAGAGGCUCCAUCUGGCUGGCAGGACAGGUGGCUUCCACGUCUCCACCACCUCAAUCCAGUUCCAGAACAUUCUCCCUACCCCACCCGCCCAAGUCCCACCCCGUGACCCACUCUCCCUGUCCUGCCAGCUCCACAGAGUCUUGAGGCUGCUCCGCAGGGCCUUGUGGCUGCUCUGCAGGUGCCUGGGGCUCUGUGGCUCUUGGGAAUGACCCAACCUUCAGGCGCAUGCCUGGGAGUGGAGCUGUGGGUCCAGCCGGGUCUCCAUGGCCGACGGCAUCAUGUGUGUCGGCUGUACCGAUGCCCGGCAAGUCCAGGGGCACCUGAGGCCCAGCUGGGACUUGAAACCAGAGCUCUCCUGCUCCAGAACCAAGGGCGACAGCUGCUCCGGGGGCCCCAGAGCCAGUAGGUUGUGGUGGGGGAGGCGUGACGGGCAAGGGCCAGGGGUCCCCGCUCUGGGCUCCCAUGCUGGGCACAGCCCUCCAGCCAUCUGAGUCCUCGGAGCCCACACCUGCUCGGAGAGGCACAGGUGGACUCCCGCCCAGCCCACUUCCCAGCAGGCCCUGGGCCCUCAGUCCUGGGCUGGCAGUGGUGCCUCUGCCGACCUCUGCCCCGUGGGGUGACGCCACUCUCGCCACAGCAACAAUUGCGAGAUGGACUCCGUGGUCAUCUCCAUCAAUGGCUUCACGUCCGUGUACGCGGCCACAGUGAUCUCCAUCAUCGGCUUCUGUGCCACCGAGCGC